rnacentral:rRNA from 1 species
GACGUAGGGGGCGAGCGUUGUCCGGAUUUAUUGGGCGUAAAGCGUGCGUAGGCGGCUGCGCAAGUCGGGUGUGAAACCCCGGGGCUCAACCCCGGAGCUGCAUCCGAUACUGCGUGGCUAGAGGUAGGUAGGGGAGAUCGGAAUUCCUGGUGUAGCGGUGAAAUGCGCAGAUAUCAGGAGGAACACCGGUGGCGAAGGCGGAUCUCUGGGCCUUACCUGACGCUGAGGCGCGAAAGCUAGGGGAGCGAACAGG